UACGUAGGGGGCAAGCGUUGUCCGGAAUCAUUGGGCGUAAAGCGCGUGUAGGCGGUUACGUAAGUCUGCUGUGAAAGUCGGAGGCUCAACCUUCGAAAGCCGGUGGAUACUGCGUGACUAGAGUACGGAAGAGGAGAGUGGAAUUCCUGGUGUAGCGGUGAAAUGCGCAGAUAUCAGGAGGAACACCAACGGCGAAGGCAGCUCUCUGGGACGUUACUGACGCUGAGACGCGAAAGCGUGGGGAGCAACAGG
rnacentral:rRNA from 1 species